UCGGGUUGUAAAGCACUUUUGUCCGGAAAGAAAACUUCUGUCCUAAUACGGCGGGGGGAUGACGGUACCGGAAGAAUAAGCACCGGCUAACUACGUGCCAGCAGCGCGGUAAUCGUAGGGUGCGAGCGUUAAUCGGAAUUACUGGGCGUAAAGCGUGCGCAGGCGGUUCGUUAAGACAGAUGUGAAAUCCCCGGGCUUAACCUGGGAACUGCAUUUGUGACUGGCGGGCUAGAGUAUGGCAGAGGGGGGUAGAAUUCCACGUGUAGCAGUGAAAUGCGUAGAGAUGUGGAGGAAUACCGAUGGCGAAGGCAGCCCCCUGGGCCAAUACUGACGCUCAUGCACGAAAGCGUGGGGAGCAAACAGGAUUAGAUACCCUGGUAGUCCACGCCCUAAACGAUGUCAACUAGUUGUCGGGUCUUCAUUGACUUGGUAACGUAGCUAACGCGUGAAGUUGACCGCCUGGGGAGUACGGUCGCAAGAUUAAAACUCAAAGGAAUUGACGGGGACCCGCACAAGCGGUGGAUGAAUGUGGAUUAAUUCGAUGCAACGCGAAAAACCUUACCUACCCUUGACAUGGACGGAGCCUGGCUG
rnacentral:rRNA from 1 species